CCCAGCCCCGCCUCUCUCGGCGGACCGCGCCCCCUUCCGGGAGCCCCGCCCCGUUCGCCGCGCCUCCUCCUCCGCACAGCUCCGGUUGCGGGGAGGCCCGGGUGGGUACCCGGCGCUCCGGCUCCCAGUCUCCUGGGCUUCUCCAGUCCUUCAGCGCCGUUCUCCGGUCACAGGGAAUGAAAGCGAGGAAGAAGGAAACGGUGUCGAGAAUUGCGAAGAGAGAAAGCAUAGAAAACCCACAUUAGAGGCACUCCCAGAGCAGAAACCCUUCGGAGCAUCCCGACUUCCUCGGCCCGCGUGCAAUCCAGGCAAAAUUGAGGUUGUCUCUGAGCCGCCCUCCCUAAGCAGGUCGGAAAGCCCCCGAAUCAUCCCAGGUCCCGCCGCGCUGCACUCGCAACCUGGGGUGGAGGUCCCUCUAGUGGUUGGCACCAAACAAAAGUUCUGUCUUAUGAAGAGCCGAGGUCAGGAAGCAUUUCCCUGUGCCCAGCGCCAAGGUCUGGGACCUUAGGUCCAAGAAAAGCGUUGGCAAUGUCUGACCACAGGAAUGGGUUCUCGAACUGGGGAGGACUGAAGCUGGAGAUCUGGUCCAGCCCCUACCUCCAGCGUGUGGCCUGAACCCGUUUUGGUUGUACUGCUAUGUUGUGGCCCUGCCCAGGCCUCCAAGGACUGGCUGCUGUUAAGCUGUUUAAAAUCCCUGUAGGCCUCAGAUGGCAGCGACACCAGGGACUCGGCAUAGUCCCCAGCUCUGGCAGGAGUCACCACAGCCCUAGCCUUUAGUUCUCUACAGGCUGGAGUGUCGACAAACUCCACAGGACACAACUUUUUCAAACCAAAUUUACCCUCGCGGUCUGAAAUGACCAGUAGGCCCAGGAGAAUUUUACAUGUGAACAGAACCUAACCCACCCUGGCAAAUAUGAGACGUGUGGUCACUGCGGGAACCUGGCCAGCAGCAGACCAAAGCACAGCCAGCAGGGGAAGGCUGGGGCCCGCAAGAGUUGUGUUACAACAGGACACCCUUCAGUUCUCUUUCACUUCCUUAAAAUAGCAGCAGAGCGACUUUUGUAGACGCAGGCUGCCACAGUUCACACAAGGUCAUGGCUGUUUCCGAAUCCCACCCUUUAUUGCCCUAGCGGAGCCACUCCCCUUACCUCCGCCCCCAGAAACUGCUAGCCUGUUCUUAAAUUGAUACAGUUACCUUUUUAAAUGUUCUAAGUCACCGGCUCUGGAGCUUCUUUGCACUUUGGAACCAACUUGCGGGAAGGAACUUUAAAAAUACUGAUAUCUCGAUCCAUCCCCAGAGGUUCUGAUUUAAUGGUCUUGGGGAUAUGGCCACGGCAUGAGGACUGUUAAAACUCCGCAGGUGAUUCUUAUGUGCAACAAAGUUUAAGAACCACUGAUGUAGGCCAUGUCGAUGUCAGUCUUCACUUAAAUCCAACAAGACCCCAGAGCUAAAACGUUCACCUGAAAGAAACCCCAUUCCCAGGCCUGCAUACUGACCUGCGCUGGCUCACAAGAAGCAAAGUGGUCCCUUAACAGGGGCUUCCUGGAGAAAAUGUCUUGACCUAAAAGAGUGAUUCGAGCUGCAGGGAUUUAAGAGAGACAGGGCCUUGCUCUGUCACCCAGGCUGAAAUGCAGUGUUGCAAUCUUGGCUCGCUGUAGCCUCAAGCUCUUGGACUCAGGCGAUUCUCCUAUCUCAGCUUCCUAAGUAGCUGGGACUACAGGGCUCAGUGUGGUCAAAAGAAGACUAUAGAAUCAAGGAUGAAGAGAAGGAACACAGAAUAAAAGGACGUCUCAGCAGGAAGCUCUGUGACUACUAUGUGACCGAGCUGAAGAAGCCCCCGUCUUCCAGCGCAUGUUAUUCCCAUGACAGAUGCUAAAAGUUCAAGGGGAGAGCUACAAGAAGUGCGUUUUCCUGUGGCUACUUUCAUGUCUGGAUGCAAUGCCUAGACCUGCAUCCAUCUUGCGACCAACCUGAAGAUGAACAGAAAGGAAGGAAGGAUGGCCCAAUAGCCUGGGAAGAACUGGUGUUCCUGAUACCAUCAUUAACCACAGAAUCUACAAUCCCGGAACCCCCCAUCCUUAACCAUGGAAUCUACAAUCCUAUCUCUAGACCCUUUGUCCAGAUGCUACAGUUUCUUUGUUCAAUCUAGUUUGUGUCAGGAUUUCUGUUCAUUACAUCAAAAGUAUUCUAAUACUUGUAGCAAAGCAACUGGAGAAGUUUUCACUUUGUCUUUAACCAAAGAAGACUUCCAGGAAACAUCUCCUCAGUGGGUUUCUCCCUCACCACUGGAUUUUUAUCUCUGUACUAGUGCUUUGAUUUGUUUUAGGAGUCUCACCUCUCCACCUGUCAUAUUUCCCUGGCAGGCUCAUUUCUGCUAAUGCCCACAAUAUGUGUAUCAAUGAGCUUUCAACGUUAGGUACACAGCUCUUCAGGCAUGUAUAGCACAUUAAUCUGUCUGCUUCUAAGUGGUCUGUUGACAUGUUUGGGUGCCAGUUAUAUCUACAAGGCUGUGAUCAUUGUCCUGGGUUAUUCUGUUUGUUCUCUCUGCAGGAUGCAUUAGGACACCCAAGGCCAUGGCCAUCACUUACAUCUAGGAUUCAAUCUUAUCUCCUGUGAAUCACUGGAAACCUCCUGUCCUGGAACCCUUUUUUUCCACAUCCCACUGGAUGUCAUUCAUAGCAACUGGUCUUGUGGGUUGUCUAUUUUAUUGUGUUGUCUUACUCUUCCUCCUGGUAUCAGUUUUUAAAUCCUCUUGAUGAGAUCAGCUGAUCAGUCGCUAAGCAACAUAGUCCCCCAUGUCUUUGUAAGAUUCUCUGCACUCAUGGCUAGAAUGAUUUAUUCUGGUAUCUUAAGCUGUGUUUCAGAACCUCAUUCUAAAUAUCAACCUAUUCUUGUAAGUCCACUACUGAUCAUCUUUAGAUAUUCUUCAGUCUUCCAGAGUUCCAAAGGGCAGUAGGAAGAAGCAAUGAAAAUACCACCUGUAUUCUCACAUCUUUCAUUGUUCCACUCAAAAAAUACCACCAUGUUCACUUCUGGUGGAACGUUUAUGUCCAUGAGAAGCAGUGGCUUUGAAGAGUUUUGGCAGACUAUGGCGCCUUACUCAACAUUGGGAAGGUAUCUUGCCAUCAGACCUUUUGGGUCUCCAUGAAACUUCUUAUACCCCCUCUGGGAAAAGUCACUAACUGUGAUCUUACUGAGCUUCUAAACACAGCAUUUUUUUUACACUUAAGUGAGCGGGGGUCCUCCUCAUUUGUGCUUCUCUUCUUGUAAGGGUGACUUCCUCCCAGUAGGAUGAAUCUCAUGCCUAUUUGUGUUAUUUUGCUAAUUCCAGCUUCUUUUCUACUCAGGGGGGUUCCAACUCUUUUAAGGUCUCAUCUUCAGCACUUCUAAACUGUGGGAAACUAUGUGAAAACAAAUGGAGUGGCCAAACACACCAUUCAUCACUGUGCUUCUGGACAGCUGCAAGUCCAUACGUGUUCUGAUGAAGUCUGGCUCUGUUGCCCAGGCUGGAGUGCAAUGGCACAGUCUCGGCUCACUGCAACCUCUGCCUCCUGGGUUCAUGCAAUUCUCCUGCCUCAGCUUCCCAAGUAGCUGGGAUUACAGACAUGCACCACCAUGCCCAGCUAAUUUUUGUAUUUUUAGUACAAACAGGGUUUCACUAUGUUAGUCGGGCUGAUCUUGAACUCCUGACCUCAAGUGAUCCACUCCCCGCAGCCUCCCAAAGUGCUGGGAUUACAGGCGUGAGCCACUGCGCCCGGCCUUUCAGCUGAUUUUCUAAUCAAGAAGUUAUAUCAGUCUUUGUCUGCAGUUGCUCAAAGACUCUCUUUUAAAGUGCAGAGACUAUCCACCUCAGCUAUAGCACAGGGCUCAGCACUGUAUUUCCAGUUAUGGAAUACAGUUAUUUCAUAUAUGUUAUAUUAUUCUUAAUUCUGUCCCUAGUUCCUGCUACUGAGGAAGUCCAUACUCAGCAGGACAGUCUCCUGGUCUGCCAUGAAUUCAAACACAAUCUGUAAAGACAGUGAAGGAAGCUACAUCUGUGCAUGGGGGCUUUAGAGAAUUAUUGGCUUGAAGCAAUAAGAGGAACAUCUGGGCUGAGUAGUCCUCGAAGACUCUCAUGUGAUUCAAAAGUCCUUUUCUUCCUUAUUAUUUCCUAUCUUGCUCUCAAGCAUCUCCUCUGGCAGCAGCAACUGGAACUAAAAGUGAUUUCUCUAUAACAGCGAGCAAGUUUCUCAUGGCCUUUGCUAUUAACUCUUUCAUGCCUGCUGACCUGCAAAAGAAUCAGGAGGGCUGGUGCUGGAGCAGAUGGCGCACUGUGAGUGAUGGUUUAGAUUCUGCCUGGACUCAAACCAUUUGGUUGAUGGCGGGAACCUUGAUUUUCCCCCUUCUUAUCCUGAGAGUGUAGGGUUUCUCUGAAUUAUUAUUUCUUUCUUUGCAAGGAUCCCUGGAUCCUCAUUCCUGAUAUAAGACUAGUUCUAAUAAUUCAAUACAAGAAAGAAGAUUUGCUUGGGAAGGUAGAUGGGGCAAAGCAUUACCUUGUGUAAAACUGCUGCUAAAAUAUAUUCCUAGUGAGAAAGGUCAACUUGUGGGCUAAAGUCCUUGUCACCUCCUGAUCAGUUUUCACUUAGGGCACAGCAGUCUGCCAUUCACCAUUGGGAUCUCUGUGUGUUUCUUCUCUCUUAUGAAAGGACAUAUUGAGCGCUCUAGGACUUGGCUGCCUACAUCAAGUAGAGGGGGACCCUCAUGAUUCACUAAGGGGCCUCAGUUCUGAAUAUUUCUCAUUAUUCAAAAAUGCAAAGCCAUUGUCAUUACGUGGCAGUUUAUUGGAACCAAGGGAGGAAUUGGUCCCUUUUCAUGUUCUUCUCCUAAAUAGAGAAAAGGUAAUUAAAACUUGGAGCUUAAUAAGGGCCAUCUCUAUUUGAACAGCCUAAUACAAAUCCAUUCUCAAUACCUUUUUACACCUUGUCUGAACUGACUUCUACUGUGUACUCCACUGCAUGGGAAUUCUGGAACUUUAGAACGAAGGGAACUCAAUUCAUUCUAUAUAUAUCUCAUUCAUUCAUUUUUUUUUCAUUUGUUCACCAAAUGCUAACUCAAUACCUACGUAACAGAGAUAAUGUUCUUAUUGUCUGUAAAUCAGAAAAUGCAUGCAUUGAAUAAACGCCAUAUAUUCUUGGAAGCUGAGGGCUGAUAACUCAAGGUAAAUGAUCAGCUAGUCUCCUAUGAAAUAAGUAUCUUAUUUCAUGUUACAUGUAGAAAUGACCAUGCAACUUUAUCUUAAAGCCAGGCCUUAUUGAGAAAAAGGGGAUCCAAAUUCCAAAUGUUUCCUUACAUGCUGAGAGGAAACCUUGGAGGUCUGAGCGUGAGUCAUAGGUAGAGGGAAAUCAUGCUAAGAUAUAUAUUGUUUCCACCAGACAGGUAGAGGAAGCAGAGACCCUUUGGCAGAAGAGAUACAGAGAAGAGAGGAGGAGAGGUUCUGGCUUUACCGUUCAGGCUUGAAACCCCAAGUUUAGAUGGAUUGAGGGGGAAGCUUAAGGCAAACAUGACCCCUGGGCCAACACAGGCUAGAGGAACAAUGUAGAAAUGACCAUGUAACUUUAUAGGCAUGAAGAAGAUGCCUGUGAUGGCACUGAGUCUCCUGUGGCUCCCUUGUGUGCCCAAAUGCCUGAAGGAUGUGAGAGUAUUGGUUGUUAGAAUUUCAGGGAAUUCCACCAAGUGGGGAAUGACUCUGUAUUAAGGGCUGCAAAGAAAAGCUCCCAGGCCAAGCAUUGAGUGGGAGGUGCUACCUGCCCUCAGGGAUCCACAGGGACUUCAACAGCUGAUGUGGGGUCUCAUCAGCCUCAAGGUGGCCAAGUUUCUAUGCUGAGACUAUAGCCCACAGUUACACCAGCCAUGAUCCUCAGCAGCAGAGGUAGUGAUGAUGAAGUCUGAUGCCCAAAGACAAGCAGAACAAUAUGCACAGUUCCAGCCAAUGCCACGAGGUAGCCUUUGUACUUCCCUAUACCUAGCUGGGAGGGAGGAAGGAAGGAGAGAGGAGACUCCUAGGAAGAGGAGAAAAUAAUUAUCCCAAAGAGACUGACAUAACCUGGAAAAGACCGAGAACUACUAAUUAGCAAGAUAAAGUUCAUUUACCUCUUCCUGUUUCUUACCAAGAUGGUAUGUAUCCUUUCAGAUAAUAAAUAAAUUUAUGUUUUCUUGCCCUAUUUUAAUGUGAUUUAAAUGUUUCUUGUUUUUUCUGUUUUCAUUCAUAACAAAAAUUUUGUUCUCAGAGACACUGAGACAUGAGACACGAUGCUGGACUAUAUUGGGGGGGAGCACCUCAUCAUAUGGGCAAGAUAUUGCAGCAGCAUGUAGCCCUCCACGUCCUGACUGCUCACUUCUCUUUCGCCAUCCCCUAACACACGUAUUAGGCUUUUGCUAUGUUCAUUUAUCUAGCCCAUAAGCCACUCCUUCAGAGGGCAAUGCAUGGAAUUGGCAGCCUUGGUUCCCCACCAACUGACAGGGGUCUGGAAUUCAGGUGUUUCCAAAGACCUGCAGUCUUGGGGGCCUUAAUGCUUGCUGAGUAGCAGCACUUUCUAGGACUUUCCCUAUUGUACGUUUCAGUCCAUGCUUUUCUUUUUGUCUUGUCUCAGUGUUCUUCCCUGCUAGUCUGGUUCUCAACAAGACCCAAGCCCUGCAACACACCCAAAUCCCCUUGAUGGGAACCUGAUUUCCUACGUGGCUUUUCCCAGUCACCCCAUGCUCUCCCCACUCCCAUCUUUCCUGGUGAAUUGCUCCUUUCCUAAAUCUGUUGUGAAUAACAAUUUGGCCACAGUGCUAAAGCCUCUCACUCCUCACUUUAAAUUCCUUUGGGAAACAGUCAUUCAUGUUCAUUUUAGACAAUUUCCCUGUCCUGUGCGGACUCUUCUCAAGAAGUCUACUCCCAAAACUCCUGCUGAGGUAGGUCCAGGUCA
rnacentral:lncRNA from 1 species